CACGUAGGGUGCGAGCGUUGUCCGGAAUUAUUGGGCGUAAAGAGCUCGUAGGCGGUGUGUCGCGUCGGCCGUGAAAACCUGUAGCUUAACUGUGGGCUUGCGGUCGAUACGGGCAUCACUGGAGUUCGGCAGGGGAGACUGGAAUUCCUGGUGUAGCGGUGAAAUGCGCAGAUAUCAGGAGGAACACCGGUGGCGAAGGCGGGCCUCUGGGCCGAUACUGACGCUGAGGAGCGAAAGCGUGGGGAGCGAACAGG
rnacentral:rRNA from 1 species